rnacentral:rRNA from 1 species
UACAGAGGGUGCUAGCGUUGUUCGGAAUCAUUGGGCGUAAAGGGCGUGUAGGCGGUUUGUUAAGUCAUGUGUGAAAGCCCCCGGCUCAACCGGGGAACGACGCAUGAAACUGGCAAGCUAGAGUACCGAAGAGGCGAGUGGAAUUCCCGGUGUAGCGGUGAAAAUGCGCAGAUAUCGGGAGGAACACCUAUGGCGAAGGCAGCUCGCUGGGACGUUACUGACGCUGAGACGCGAAAGCGUGGGGAGCAAACAGG